rnacentral:rRNA from 1 species
AUUGAACGCUGGCGGCAUGCCUUACACAUGCAAGUCGAACGGCAGCAUGAUCUAGCUUGCUAGAUUGAUGGCGAGUGGCGAACGGGUGAGUAAUACAUCGGAACGUGCCCUGUAGUGGGGGAUAACUAGUCGAAAGAUUAGCUAAUACCGCAUACGACCUGAGGGUGAAAGUGGGGGACCGCAAGGCCUCAUGCUAUAGGAGCGGCCGAUGUCUGAUUAGCUAGUUGGUGGGGUAAAGGCCCACCAAGGCGACGAUCAGUAGCUGGUCUGAGAGGACGAUCAGCCACACUGGGACUGAGACACGGCCCAGACUCCUACGGGAGGCAGCAGUGGGGAAUUUUGGACAAUGGGCGAAAGCCUGAUCCAGCAAUGCCGCGUGUGUGAAGAAGGCCUUCGGGUUGUAAAGCACUUUUGCCCGGAAAGAAAUGGCUUCUGGUUAAUACCCCUGGGGUCGAUGACCGGUACCC